rnacentral:misc_RNA from 1 species
AAGUCGUAACAAGGUCUCCGUAGGUGAACCUGCGGAGGGAUCAUUAACACGUUUCUACGUACUUUAUCCAAACCAACCAAACCGUGAACCUUUCAAAUUCUCCCUAUUGGUACUAUUGUUGUUAUACUCGGAUUAGUGAACAUUGUUCUUUCUUACUUUGGUAAGGAAAAGCAGUGUGAGAGUAUAACUAGAAGUCGGUUUCGAUCGAACUUCAAACAGUAGUAUCAUUAGGCUAGCCUCUUUUCUUUCCUUUGCCACUACAAAACCUAUUUCACCCUUUUUAUAACACAUUGACUGAGUGACUUUCUACUGGAGAAAUCCAUGUUAAGAAAGCAAAACUUCGAUAUUCGAACGUUAUUAAGCACAACUCUUAGCAACGGAUAUCUUGGUUCUC